UAAUGCUGAGCAUAUAUUUCAGCUUACGAUUUGUUAGCCUACACUGAAAUGUCAACAUACAUAGUUAAAUAAAUAAUUAUACACAUGUAGAUUCUGUACCAUCACUGGACUCAAAUCAUAACUAUAGAUAUACAUAAUACAGUACAUGUAAACAAAUUUUCUAGGUCACAGUAAAUAUGAAGUCAGGUUGACUUAGCCAUUCACUUCUCCCUGCUGACAGUGAUACUUGUAAUGUGUCAUUUAAUCAGUUCUGAACUCUACUCUGAGUUGACAAACACCCAUACAUGUUCAUGUGUACAAAUAUAUAGUUCGUCGCAUGAGAGCCAGAAGGACGUGGUAAAGCUGUAAAGAGACAUCUCAGACAGCUGAGUCUACUACACCUGUGGUUGCCAGGACAUUGUUGUGAUUGCAUGUACACAUGUAAUUGGAUAUCAGGACACAAAUACAGCAUGAUGAUCAGAUUAUUAUCACCACAGAUCAUGACAGAGCCAGAGAAGGAAGAGGAAGCUACCGGAGUGGCAGAGUUGUAUGUCAGGACUCCAUGGCCAUUAUCCCUCAACAUCUACUCGUGCUGGAGGACAAGUGUCAACUUUAUUGGUACAAAGACCAUAUGGUACGCCCAGCGGGAGAGGGGCCGGGUCAGACAUUAUGAGUGGAGGGGUUCGCCGACACCGUGUAGGCCUAUGUUAUAAAAUAAAGCCAGUUAUGUAGGCCUACUCUAUAGGAGAUAGUAAACACGAAACAAAUAUCAGGUUUUGGAUGAAUUUAUUAAAAAAAAUUAUAUAAAUUUAA